AGGCCCAAUACCAAACAGAUAACUCGUAUAUCUUGAAGUGCGAUUGUGGUUGCUGCUUGAAUGGAGAGAGCGUCGGUUGCUUUGGACUAUUGGAUUCAUCUCAGAUCAAUGGUUGGUGUUUUGAAUAUAAAUAGAAUACUUGGCCUAAACCCUAGAGUCAUACUGUCAUUUUUUUUGUGUAUGUAUCCAUCUAACAGAAAUUUUCCUUUGAACCUGUUCGGCGUCUUCUUUCAUCUUCAGCAUCUGGUUGGAUGAACUGUGAAAUUUCUUAGUGGGAAAAGAGUUAGAGCGAUUCCUUUUGUAAGAAUGGAGGAUCCAAGACUCAAAUGGUUUGAAGAAGCUCAUUUGUAUGGUAAGUUUCUCUAUUGUUGCUAUUUGAGAAAUGUUGUUUUUUUUUAAUUCAAUUUUUUUACAUGUUACUGUUGGAAUUUGUUGUAAAAGGUAUGUGCAUGUUGUUUGCUAAGAGUCUUGAAUUGAUUCUUGUACUAACCCUUGUCAUUAUCGUCCAGCUGGAUACACAGACUACUUCAUUAUAGCUAUAUACACUAGUGGUGCAUUCUUCGAUAAUCCAAAUAAUGUGAAGUACGAAUGGUAGUGUGAUGUUUGUGGACUUUGUAAAAGCUGAUUAUUUCAAUAGGGAAUAGUUCGAGAUCUUGAGUAUAUUUGUGGGCCUUUUGGAGUUUACUUCGACCUGUAGGAAAGGAGUUUGGUAGUGUUUUGAGGAGGUUACGUAGUGAAUCAGAUGUGAGAAAGAUGUUGAAGGACCUUAAAGGUCAUAGGUUGCUAGAGAAUUAUGUAGUUGUGCCUAACUAGACAUAUGCAUUACCUCAAAAGACCAUGCUAAGAACCAUUGCCUGAGGUCCUAGAGAGUAGUGCCCUAAUGAAGGGGGUGAAAAUACCAUAGAAGGUUGCUACAUCCUGAUGUUUGAUGUGGAUGAAGGUGGUUUGGGUGAGACGAACAAUGGUGACUAUUUGCCUAAAAAUGUAGAGGAGGUGUGGUCGUAAAUUGAGGAAACACUCACGUAUAAAGUUGUAGUUGGUACUUCCAACCAAAUCAGGCUGAAGAGAACUCGAAAAUGGGUGAGGAAGAACUGGAGAAUGAAGGACAUAGUGAUAAUAGAAUGGAAGAUGAAACUGAAGGCUUUGUGGAAAGUGAUUAUGAUAUUUUGAAUUCAUGAAACUAUGUUUAAUUCUUCACACACGUCGACUUUAGAUUGGAAAAGUAGACUUUAAUUCUUAUAUUUUGAUCUUGAAGUUGUGCUUAGAUUCAAUGUCAUGAUUUAAUGUAGGGUUAGCUAGCUAAAUAUUUUCGCAUAUUUGUGUGUUUGUAAUAUAGUUGAGUUUCAGUUUUGUUUGAAGAUAAAUAAAGAUCUAAGUUUGAGGAUUUGAUAAGUGUAGUUUGUACACUUAUUUGGGAUUCUAAAUGAUGAUAUUUUGUUAUUUUUUAGAGGAUAAGUGCCUAAUUUAUUAUUUAUUACUUUUAUUAUGAAAACUCACGUUUGGAUAAGGAAUCAGAAGAAAGAAUGAAAAAUGGUCAAAAUGAAGCAAAUCUAAAGUUCAGGAACUAAGUGCAAGUACUUAAAAAUUGUGUUGAACUUCAUUAUGAAGAUUUGAGUGUUAAGGGUCAAUUGUAUAGGAAAAUAAGUCGAAUGGAUGAAGUAUAGUCAAAUAUUAUCAUACAUCAACUUUCAGUUGAAAAAAAUAUUCUUCCAAUUUUCAGUCUUAGUUUAAGACUCAUUUUUAGCAUAGCAAACAUUUGAAUUGAAAAAAAUGAUAAACUUGGAAGAUUUUAGCCUUUCGAGUUAUCUUUUCGACGUAAUUUGAAUCACCUAAUUGGAUAUCAGAAGUGAAAGAUAUGGCUAAACUACUGAAAUUGUUCGACGAAAAAUGUUGCUUAUACUAUGUGGCCGCAUAGUUAAAAUCACUUGCAGUCGCAACUACUCCUUCAAAACACAUUUUAGCUAAUGAAAAUCCUCCUACGCAGCCCCACCUCCUUACUCCAUGUGGUCGCAUAGUGUUAAACUUGGCGUGAUUUUUGUUUCCUUAUUUCGUUUAAACUUUACAUGGGAAGACAUUUUUGGGGUGUCUAUAUAAACUAGAACUUGUCCAGAAUGUGGGAGGACCUCUCUUAGACAUAAAAAUCACAGUUUCUACGUAUUUUGAAGAUGAAGAACAAGGCUAAGCAUCAACAUCAAGGCGGAUUACACAAGACUAUUGAAGAAUAUUCACCCUUUACAAGAUUCAAGUCAAGAAAGUGAAUUUUUUUCACUUUCUUCAUUAUUUCUUCUUUUCAGGUGAUUUUUUUUCAAUAUUUCUUGUAUAAUUUAAUAGAAUGCUAAGCUAGGUUUUUCUAUUGUAUCGGAUGAAUGAUAAACCCUAUUGCAUAUUUGUUUUAAUUUAAGACUAGUAAUUUAAUUA